AUUAAUCAAAAUGGUCCAUUAGUUACCCCAUAGACUAAGGACCAAUUGUGUGGGCAAGCAAAGCAAGUGCAUGUGCAGAUGUGUGUUAUGUUUGUCGAGUGUAUAUAUCAACCUUAGCUGUUUAUUACCAUAAUUAGCUCUCUGAUUGCAACUCCUACCUGCUCUCAAGAAAAGACUCCCUUCUUUCCAUCACAAAAUCACUAUGAAUACUUUGAUCUCCUUUUAAAACAAUCAAACAUUUUAUUUAUCAAUAUCAAUAAAUAAUAUAUACUACACACAUAUUAAUAAACUUAUUCUAUUAAUUAAUUCAUAACUAUCCAUUUAAUCCUGGUUCUCAAAUCACAGUUCGGUAAGAAAAUAAUAAUAGUAGUAACAGUAGUUAAAUACUUGGUUAUGCAACAAUAUAUUUCCUUCUAUUUAGACGAAAUAUAUAAGAGAGAUAUAUAGUAAAAAGGACUUGCAAUAUUUUACCUUUAACAAAUUCAGGACUUGCAAUAUUUUACCUUUAACGUACACAACAUUAAAUUAAAAGUAAAAACUAAUGCAUAAAUUCGUAGAAAACAAUACAUUAUCGGAUAUAUUGGUAAAAAAACUAAAAUAUUAUUAUAUAAAUUGACAAAUUUUAAAAAGUUAUAUUGCAUAACAAACAUUUAACGAUGUCAUGUGAUGGUCUUUCUUUUUAAGUUUUUUUUUUUUUUUAAUUUUAAAACUAAAUAUGAUAACUAGAAACGUUAGUCGUUCUUCAAAAACUUACUCUUAAAACCCGUAAUAUGCUUUCUUUUAGAUUUUAGGUAUCCAAACUUUUUAAUGUUUUUUUUAUUUGGUAAUAUCUCGAUUUUUUGAUUAUUUAAUGUUUUUAUUUGAAUAUAUCUUAUUAAAUAAUAUUUUUAAAACGAGAAUAAACAAGAAAAUAACUUAUCUUAUUCAAUCCGUGACCGUGACUAUGAUGCGUAAGAUAUCAGACAAAAGCUUCAUAAAACAAACAAGGUCACAAGGAUAACCAUCAAACAGGUGGUGCAUUUAUGUGUUGAUUGAGUAGGUAUUAUAUAAAUAAUGAUAGAGGCUACAUCGAUUUUAUAUAUUAAUUUAUAACAAAUUAUUCUACUCAACAUUUAACAUAAAUUAAACAAAAAAAAUCCCUUUUAUCAGAAUGUUCAUUUUGAUUAUUUUUGAUGCUCAGGGAAGUUUGUCACAACAAUAUUUUUCUAUCGUAAAUUCGUAAUCACUUCUUAUCUCGAUGAUUAAGCUCAAACUUCUUAUCUCGAUGAUUAAGCUCAAACUUCCGGUAAGGGAUUAAUAUUAGAAAGUUAGGUUAUGAAUAUCAAUGCAACUUAGAUAACUUUGGGGAUCAUGCACACCGUACCUCUAAACUUAAACUCAACUUGUUUUGGGGUUAAUCUUGACCAUACUAAAUGGAUUGAUGACACUAAAAUCACCAACAACAAACACUUAGACAUCUUUACAUUUAAAAUGGUUUCUAAAAAAACUCAAUAACCUUGUAAUCAUGUAAGAGAAUACCUGGGUCAUCACUUUGAGACACCCCUUGGAAACGAGAGACCUUUGAGUUACGAGAGUAGAUGGUAUAGGGUUUGGACUUGGUUCUAAGCAUUACAUCCUUGACACUAUCUUGUUAUUUUGUAAUUGAAUUUUCGAUUUGCUGAUAGUGUUUUUUAAAAGCUACACACCUUCUAAACUGACUACAAAAUGACUUCUCUUGUCUACAACGAGAC
rnacentral:lncRNA from 1 species